CCUACGGGAGGCAGCAGUAGGGAAUCUUCCGCAAUGGACGAAAGUCUGACGGAGCAACGCCGCGUGAACGAAGAAGGCCUUCGGGUCGUAAAGUUCUGUUGUUAGGGAAGAACAAGUACGAGAGUAACUGCUCGUACCUUGACGGUACCUAACCAGAAAGCCACGGCUAACUACGUGCCAGCAGCCGCGGUAAUACGUAGGUGGCAAGCGUUGUCCGGAAUUAUUGGGCGUAAAGCGCGCGCAGGCGGUCCUUUAAGUCUGAUGUGAAAGCCCACGGCUCAACCGUGGAGGGUCAUUGGAAACUGGGGGACUUGAGUGCAGAAGAGGAGAGUGGAAUUCCACGUGUAGCGGUGAAAUGCGUAGAGAUGUGGAGGAACACCAGUGGCGAAGGCGACUCUCUGGUCUGUAACUGACGCUGAGGCGCGAAAGCGUGGGGAGCAAACAGGAUUAGAUACCCUGGUAGUCCACGCCGUAAACGAUGAGUGCUAAGUGUUAGAGGGUUUCCGCCCUUUAGUGCCGCAGCUAACGCAUUAAGCACUCCGCCUGGGGAGUACGGCCGCAAGGCUGAAACUCAAAGGAAUUGACGG
rnacentral:rRNA from 1 species